GACGAACGCUGGCGGCGUGCUUAACACAUGCAAGUCGAACGGAAAGGCCCUGCUUUUGUGGGGUGCUCGAGUGGCGAACGGGUGAGUAACACGUGAGUAACCUGCCCUUGACUUUGGGAUAACUUCAGGAAACUGGGGCUAAUACCGGAUAGGAGCUCCUGCUGCAUGGUGGGGGUUGGAAAGUUUCGGCGGUUGGGGAUGGACUCGCGGCUUAUCCGCUUGUUGGUGGGGUAGUGGCUUACCAAGGCUUUGACGGGUAGCCGGCCUGAGAGGGUGACCGGGCACAUUGGGAUUGAGGUACGGCCCAGACUCCUACGGGAGGCAGCAGUGGGGAAUAUUGCACAAUGGGCGGAAGCCUGAUGCAGCAACGCCGCGUGCGGGAUGACGGCCUUCGGGUUGUAAACCGCUUUCGCCUGUGACGAAGCGUGAGUGACGGUAAUGGGUAAAGAAGCACCGGCUAACUACGUG
rnacentral:rRNA from 1 species